rnacentral:misc_RNA from 1 species
UCAAACUUGGUCAUUUAGAGGAAGUAAAAGUCGUAACAAGGUUUCCGUAGGUGAACCUGCGGAAGGAUCAUUAAUGAAAAUGUGUUGCCGGGGCCCAUAAUCCCGGCACUAACCUUCUUAUCCAUAACACCUGUGCACUGUUGGAUGCUUGCAUCCACUUUUAUACUAAACAAUUUGUAACAAAUGUAGUCUUAUUAUAAUUAAUAAAACUUUUAACAACGGAUCUCUUGGCUCUCGCAUCGAUGAAGAACGCAGC